AUGAAGAGUCGGACAUGACUUAACGACUAAACAACAACAACAAUUUCUCUGUAUGAUGGCUUAAAUGCCUGAUUUGUUUAAGACAUACCUUUUUCAUCCAUAUGUAAAUUCUGUUGAUAACCUAAAAACAAACAUACAAUAUGUAUGUUACUGUGAAAUAAUUAUUUUACUUAAGUGUCAUUUAAAGUCACCUUAACACACUUCCUCCAUUGUUUUCUCACCAGCAACGGAACGCAGGUCAUCAGCUGUUACAAGUGGUUCCUGAAAGUCCUCCAGAGAAACAAAAACAGCUGUUUCAAUGCAGAUCAUGUAGUAACUGGAAUAUCUGGAAUAGUUGGAAGAUCAUAUAUGUUUAAAUGUGACAAACUUCACAUGUAUGGAAAUAUUGUCAACAUAAUGUGGUACAAGAACUGUACCAGGAUUGUAAACCAAACGGAGGAAGAGUGGCACAUUAACCAGUUAAAAGCUGAAGAUGCUGGGAAAUAUACUUGUGUGGCAUCAUUCUUUCAUGGACAAAAGAUAUACAACAGCACACAUACAAUAAGCCUAACAGUGAAAGGUGCUGAGGAAAGCACAAGACCAAUGCUAAUUGGACCUCAUUAUCAAGUUUACAAAACAGAAAUAGGUAUGUCUUACUGUUUCUUCUAACAGUGUGGUGUUGUGUACAUCACAUUUGCUUGUAUGUAUUAUCACAUUUAGCAGGUACUUUCACAUUUGUCCCAAACUGAAUAGAUGUCAGAGACAUACCUACAGGACCAGACUAGAGUAUUCAGACAUUAUAUUUAUUGAUAGACAGAGGAUGAUGCGUGAGCCACAUGUUGGUUGAAAUUAUGCCAUGUAAGACUGAUAAUUUCAUCAGUUACAGAGGUUUUUCUACAUUCAAAGGGCCUACCCUGCAGAUAUUUGCACUGUUAUGAAUGGUGGAAUGCAGAUCUACUCAUAUACUUUUUUUGAUAGUAAAAAUAACACCAAGGCAGGCCUUUUGAGGGUUGUAGGAAAGUUUUUUGCAGGAAUUAUGUUGUAUUAUGAUUUAAUUAUAAUCUGUUAAUCAUUCUGUAGCCAUAAGUGAGACUGCAUACCUUAGUUGAAAAUGGGUUAAAAAAUCAGUUCAAAAAUGUUAGUUUUAAUUUUCAUUAAAUUUUAAUUUCCAAACUGCAUAUGAAAAUGGGUUAAAAAAUCAGUUCAAAAACGUUAAUUUUAAUUUUCAUUGUCUUUUCUUUAUUAUGUUUGCCAUCCCAAUUUCCAAACUGCAUAAACAUGAGGUUUCCAAGCGUUACUACCAUGAGCACGAGACUAUUUAUUAAAUAAAAAAGCAUUAUUUUUACA
rnacentral:lncRNA from 1 species